UUCCCCUUCCGCCCGGAGCCGGGGAGAUGGCGUCGAGCUGCGCGCGGUUCCUCGGCAGUUGGAGCCGAGUCCGAGCCGCUGUGUCUUUGUUGUCGUCUGCGGCAAGACAUCAGCAUUCUCAAAGCGGUGUACUUCAACCAAGAAAAGAAGCAGUAACAUCAUUGUCAAAGCCACCAUGGCCUGAAGUCAAAUUGCCAGAUCCUGCAGAAGAGGCAAACCAUCACAUAGAAGUUGUACAAAAUGUAAAGACUCUGAUUUCCAUGGGAGCAUAUGGCAGAUUGUUUGCAGUUGUCCACUUUGCUAGUCGGCAAUGGAAAGUAACCAAUGAGGACUUGAUCUUGAUAGAAAAUCACAUUGAAGCAGACUGCGGGGAUAGGAUCAGAUUAGAGAAGGUUCUGCUGGUUGGUGGGAAUGACUUCACGCUAAUCGGUCGUCCACUUCUUGGGCGAGACCUUGUACGAGUGGAAGCAACUGUCAUUGAGAAGACAGAAUCUUGGCCUAAAAUAAACUUCAGAUUCAAACGGAGAAAGCGUUACCGCAGAACAAAGAUUAUUGUGCAACCUCAGACUGUUCUCAGGAUCAACACAAUUGAGAUUGCUCCAGCUCUGACCUGACAACAUAAAUAUUCUUCACCUCUGUCUCAGUGAAAUGAAAGAAUGGCAUUCUCAGGAAUCCCAAGACAAUGAUCAGGAGCUGGAAUUCUAGAUAACUUUUCUUCUCCAGUGCCCAACGAGUAGUUUGUUAAAGGAUACAUACAAAAAAUGUUACAGUUCUAUUGAAAGCGGAUUAGCAAAAAUUGUCGUGGAGAGAAAUAGACCAGUAAAACUGUUAAAGUCCAGAAUUCCAGUGGUAAAGUAAAUUGAUCUGUUCUGUCACUGUAAAGCA